GCCUGAUCCAGGCUUAUGUUCAGUUGGUAGAGCACAAAACUCUUAAUCUCAGGGUCAUGGGUUCUAGCCCUGUGUUGGGCA